rfam:Anaerobacillus sp. NB2006 Ga0137927_1057, whole genome shotgun sequence.
UCUAACUUUAUAAUCGAGGAUAGGAAUGAUGUGACCAUGUACACAGAAACUAUCUCGUCAAAGCUCCUGCGUGCGUCAUGAUUGACAGAUCAUCGGGGUUCGAAGGACAGGUAGAGUCGGCAGAACGAAGGCUGAAGCCAUUCCUAAAAGGAAAAGGUAUGCCAACGGAUANGGUCCGACAUGUUCUGUAAUAAACGUCUUACGACGUGAAA